rnacentral:rRNA from 1 species
GACGAACGCUGGCGGCGUGCUUAACACAUGCAAGUCGAACGGGGCCCCGUCUUCGGGCGGGGUCUAGUGGCGAACGGGUGAGUAACACGUGGGCAACCUGCCCCCGGCUCUGGGAUAACUCCAAGAAAUUGGGGCUAAUACCGGCUAUGUCCGCCGACCGCAUGGUCUGGUGGUGGAAAGGUUUUUCCGGCUGGGGAUGGGCGCGCGGCCUAUCAGCUUGUUGGUGGGGUAGUGGCCUACCAAGGCGACGACGGGUAGCCGGCCUGAGAGGGUGACCGGCCACACUGGGACUGAGACACGGCCCAGACUCCUACGGGAGGCAGCAGUGGGGAAUAUUGCGCAAUGGGCGAAAGCCUGACGCAGCGACGCCGCGUGGGGGAUGACGGCCUUCGGGUUGUAAACCUCUUUCAGCAGGGACGAAGCGCAAGUGACGGUACCUGCAGAAGAAGCACCGGCCAACUACGUGCCAGCCGCCGCAGUAAGAC